rnacentral:rRNA from 1 species
CGCCCCACAGCUAGCCCACAAAAUCCAACCAACAAUCAAACAUAAAUACCCCCAAACACCCCAAACCUAACAAACAAAUCAUUUUUCCCUCUUAGUACGGGAGACAGAAAAGAGAAUUAGGAGCAAUAGAACAGUACCGCAAGGGAACGCUGAAAGAGAAAUGAAACAAAUCAUUUUAAGCCCAGAAAAGCAGAGAUUUAAACUCGUACCUUUUGCAUCAUGACUUAGCCAGUACUAUUCGAGCAUAGAGUUCUUUAGUUCGACACCCCGAAACUAGACGAGCUACUCCAAGACAGCCUAUUACAGGGCAAACCCGUCUCUGUGGCAAAAGAGUGGGAAGAACUUUGAGUAGAGGUGACAGACCUACCGAGUCUAGUUAUAGCUGGUUGCCUAAGAAAUGGAUAAAAGUUCAGCCCCCCGUAUUUCCCAACCCAACCCAGUCGUUUACUUAAGCUGGAUAUUCAGGCUUAGCCGAGGGAGUUAUUCGAAGGAGGUACAGCUCCUUUGAAACAAGACACAACUUUACCAGGAGGAUAAAGAUCAUAAUUACUAAGGAAUUGAGUGCUUCAGUGGGCCUAAAAGCAGCCACCUCAACAGAAAGCGUUAAAGCUCAGACACACCUACCAACCCCAUAUUCUGAUUAAUCAUCUAAACCCCCUAAUCCUACUAGGCCCUCCCAUGCAACCAUGGGAGAGACCCUGCUAAUAUGAGUAACAAGAAAAUUCUAGAUUUUCUCCUUGCACAAGUGUACAUCGGAACGGACCCCCCACCGACCCUUAACCGGCCCCAAUAAAAGAGGGUAUUGAAUAAUAAACCAUAAAACUAGAAAAACAUUCAAAUACUAGCCGUUGACCCCACACUGGAGUGCCCACAAGGAAAGACUAAAAGAGAAAAAAGGAACUCGGCAAACACAAGCCUCGCCUGUUUACCAAAAACAUCGCCUCUUGCAAAACAAAAUAUAAGAGGUCCCGCCUGCCCUGUGACUAUAUGUUUAACGGCCGCGGUAUUUUGACCGUGCGAAGGUAGCGCAAUCACUUGUCUUUUAAAUGAAGACCCGUAUGAAUGGCAUAACGAGGGCUUAGCUGUCUCUUUUCUCCAAGUCAGUGAAAUUGAUCUCCCCGUGCAGAAGCGGGGAUAUAAACAUAAGACGAGAAGACCCUAUGGAGCUUUAGACACAAAGCAGUCCAAAUUAAGACUCCAAAAUUAAAACGGAGCAAUAAAAUGACAACCCUGCUCAAAUGUCUUUGGUUGGGGCGACCAUGGGGAAAAACGAAACCCCCACGUGGAACGGAAGAACUUCUUCUACAACCAAGAGCCGCCACUCCAAGUGACAGAACCUCUGACCAUAAAUGAUCCGGUACUACCGAUCAACGAACCGAGUUACCCUAGGGAUAACAGCGCAAUCCCCUUCCAGAGCCCAUAUCGACAAGGGGGUUUACGACCUCGAUGUUGGAUCAGGACAUCCUAAUGGUGCAGCCGCUAUUAAGGGUUCGUUUGUUCAACGAUUAAAGUCCUACGUGAUCUGAGUUCAGACCGGAGUAAUCCAGGUCAGUUUCUAUCUAUGAUAUGAUCUUCUUCUAGUACGAAAGGACCGGAAAGAAAAGGCCCAUGCUUGAGGCACGCCUUACCCCCACCUAAUGAAAACAACUAAAAUAGGCAAAGGGGCAUACCCCUUAAGCCUAAGAACAUGGCAU